GAUGAACGCUAGCUACAGGCUUAACACAUGCAAGUCGAGGGGAAACGAUAGAGAAAGCUUGCUAUUUCUAGGCGUCGACCGGCGCACGGGUGAGUAACGCGUAUCCAACCUGCCCAUCACUUGGGGAUAACCUUGCGAAAGUAAGACUAAUACCCAAUGACGUCCAUAGAAGACAUCUGAAAUGGAUUAAAGAUUUAUCGGUGAUGGAUGGGGAUGCGUCUGAUUAGCUUGUUGGCGGGGUAACGGCCCACCAAGGCGACGAUCAGUAGGGGUUCUGAGAGGAAGGUCCCCCACAUUGGAACUGAGACACGGUCCAAACUCCUACGGGAGGCAGCAGUGAGGAAUAUUGGUCAAUGGGCGAGAGCCUGAACCAGCCAAGUAGCGUGCAGGAUGACGGCCCUAUGGGUUGUAAACUGCUUUUAUAAGGGAAUAAAGUGAGCCUCGUGAGGCUUUUUACAUGUACCUUAUGAAUAAGGACCGGCUAAUUCCGUGCCAGCCGCCGCAGUAA
rnacentral:rRNA from 1 species